GUGCUUACUAUCGAAAUGAUAAUGGUCAGUACAUGCAUAUAAUUGCCUGCCUUAGUGCUCUCUCUCUCUCUCUCUCUCUCUCUCUCUCUACACUANNNNNNNNNNNNNNNNNNNNGUCCUACUAAUACUAACUAAUUAAUACUCCUAAACUAGUUUCUAGAGUUGUAAGUAGCUUACUAUCGAAUAGAGUAAUAGGUCAGUACAUAGCAUAUAAUUAGUCCUCGUCCUUACGUGUCUCUCUCUCUCUCUCUCUCUCUCUCUCUCUCUCGACAAUGUAAUUGGGGCCUGUACUUGCCUGAAACCUAAAAGAGCUUAGCGUGUUUUAUUCAUAUCAUAGUGAUUCACCCUGUUAUAUUUGUCCAUGUUUCUCUGCAUAGUCUGCUUUUGAUUAUGGAAUUCAGAUGAAAGCUUACUCCUUUUUAUUAUGUUGAAAUAGAAACUUUAUGAUGUGAUAUUCUCAGCUAUUGUUCAAAUAUUUUCUGGAAGAUUAGCAAGAAUUUGUCAUGACAUUUAACGAAUCUUCGGAAAUUUGAUUACUAUGUAAACAAGCACAUUGAACCAAUGUGUGUGUGCGUGCGCGCGCGAGAGAGAGAGAGAGAGAGAGAGAGAGAGAGAGAGCUUCGUA
rnacentral:lncRNA from 1 species